rnacentral:tRNA from 4 species
GGGGCUAUAGCUCAGCUGGGAGAGCGCUUGACUGGCAGUCAAGAGGUCGUCGGUUCGAUCCCGUCUAGCUCCACCA